GACGAGAUGUCCGCCCCUGCUAGACAGGCCCUCCGGACCACCAAAUAUACGAUGCAACGGACCAAGCGACAACACCCCGCGACAUUGUCGCCUGGUUUGGAAGGAUUGUGUUACUCAGAUAAUGAAGCAGUCGUUGAAAGAGAUGAAACUCGAAUAUAUUUUUGAAAUGCAUUCGUUUUCCACCGACCUAGAAGACGAAUCUGUGCAUCGGACAAACCUUUCUCAGCAGCGAAAGAUGCUGCACCGAUUCGAA